CAGUGCAUUUCAACGCUUCACUCCACCAUUGACAGUCAAAUCCCACUAAAAUCUUGUUUUCUUAGAGCAAGUGAAAAAUACUUGGUCUUUGUCUUCCCUCCUGCCCUGUGUGAUUACCAGUCCCUGCCCUAAUGUGCUCCACCUGUGCCUCGUUGUCUCCCCUGCCCUAGUGUAAAAAUUCCCUUGUCCCCUUGGUGCCUGUGCCAGGUCAUCUUGAUUCCUUGUGUCAGCGUCUCGUCCGUUUUUGAUUACCACUCCAGCCUUGUGAUUUUGGUACUGCUGCCUGAAACCUUUUGGAUUAGGUUCAAUAAACUGUUUAUUUUUGUGAACCUCC